rnacentral:rRNA from 1 species
GAUGAACGCUGGCGGCGUGCCUAAUACAUGCAAGUCGAGCGAACGGACGAGAAGCUUGCUUCUCUGAUGUUAGCGGCGGACGGGUGAGUAACACGUGGAUAACCUACCUAUAAGACUGGGAUAACUUCGGGAAACCGUAGCUAAUACCGGAUAAUAUUUUGAACCGCAUGGUUCAAAAGUGAAAGACGGUCUUGCUGUCACUUAUAGAUGGAUCCGCGCUGCAUUAGCUAGUUGGUAAGGUAACGGCUUACCAAGGCAACGAUGCAUAGCCGACCUGAGAGGGUGAUCGGCCACACUGGAACUGAGACACGGUCCAGACUCCUACGGGAGGCAGCAGUAGGGAAUCUUCCGCAAUGGGCGAAAGCCUGACGGAGCAACGCCACGUGAGUGAUGAAGGUCUUCGGAUCGUAAAACUCUGUUAUUAGGGAAGAACAUAUGUGUAAGUAACUGUGCACAUCUUGACGGUACCUAAUCAGAAAGCCACGGCUAACUACGUG